UACGGAGGGGGCUAGCGUUUUUCGGAAUUACUGGGCGUAAAGCGCACGUAGGCGGCUUGGUAAGUUAGAGGUGAAAGCCCGGGGCUCAACCCCGGAAUUGCCUUUAAGACUGCCUCGCUUGAACGUCGGAGAGGUGAGUGGAAUUCCGAGUGUAGAGGUGAAAUUCGUAGAUAUUCGGAAGAACACCAGUGGCGAAGGCGGCUCACUGGCCCGGUACUGACGCUGAGGUGCGAAAGCGUGGGGAGCAAACAGG
rnacentral:rRNA from 1 species